rnacentral:rRNA from 1 species
CCAAUAGCGUAUAUUAAAGUUGUUGCAGUUAAAAAGCUCGUAGUUGAAUUUCGGGGUUAGUAGGUUGGUCAUGCCUCUGGUAUGUACUGGUCUCACUGAUUCCUCCUUCCUGAUGAACCGUAAUGCCAUUAAUUUGGUGUUGCGGGGAAUUUGGACUGUUACUUUGAAAAAAUUAGAGUGUUUAAAGCAGGCUAACGCUUGAAUACAUUAGCAUGGAAUA